rnacentral:rRNA from 1 species
GCCAGACUCCUACGGGAGGCAGCAGUGGGGAAUAUUGGGCAAUGGACGCAAGUCUGACCCAGCAACGCCGCGUGAAGGAAGAAGGCUUUCGGGUUGUAAACUUCUUUUAAGGGGGAAGAGUAGAAGACGGUACCCCUUGAAUAAGCCACGGCUAACUACGUGCCAGCAGCCGCGGUAAUACGUAGGUGGCAAGCGUUGUCCGGAUUUACUGGGUGUAAAGGGCGUGCAGCCGGAGAGACAAGUCAGAUGUGAAAACUAUGGGCUCAACCGAUAGAGUGCAUUUGAAACUGCAGUUCUUGAGUGAUGGAGAGGCAGGCGGAAUUCCCGGUGUAGCGGUGGAAUGCGUAGAUAUCGGGAGGAACACCAGUGGCGAAGGCGGCCUGCUGGACAUUAACUGACGCUGAGGCGCGAAAGCGUGGGGAGCAAACAGGAUUAGAUACCCCAGUA